rnacentral:lncRNA from 10 species
GCUCAGGUCACGUUCUGAGCCUGCUUCUCACUCCUGCCCCCUCCCACCCUCCUGGUUCUGCCAUGGACAAGCUGAAGUCUCUCUGAGACCAGGGGACCCGCAUGGCCCAGCCACCCCACCCCACCAUCUCCCAGGCAUGUGAGAAAAUAUCACAUUCUCUGUGUUUUGGAGAUUUCUUCUAAAUGUAUUUUCCAACUAUCAUUUCAUAGCAAAUCAGCGAGAAAAAAGGGGCUUCCUGGAGCUCCUGCAACCCCAGGCAUUAGUUCCGGUGCAGUUCUAGGAUCAGAUCAAUUCACUCGACAACAAGAGAAACAAAUGGAGAUUCCUACACAAAGACUUUCAAGCACAAAGAAAUCCUGCUGCCUGUAAAGCGGAGCUGCCUCAGCCCUUGAUGAACGACAGAAAAUCUCACAUUCCAGGAAUUCAGAUGAAGUGAAGUGCUCUCAUGGGGACCAGGCAUGGUUAUGCCAGUCCACUGCCCUGCAAGCCUCAAGGGAAGCCAACUGCCCUUCAGCAAGUCACACCUGCCUUGGUGGAGGCCUUGAUUGGAAGUGCCACACGCUACAUGUCCAGUCCUGAGCGGGAGAAUCGGUGUAGGGACGUUCUGGGGAUGCCAGCUGUGGCCAGAUCAGGUCCAACUACAGAAGAAUAAUGAAGACUCCACCUGAGGGCUGGAAAAACAAAACCUCAAGUGUGAGGCAGCCAACCUGUUACCUCGAGGGACUGUUCCGCAGCACAGCGGGGCCAUGGGAACAGCAGCAGACACCCCGACCUCCUCGCUACCU